rnacentral:misc_RNA from 1 species
UACAGAGACCUCAAGCGUUAUCCGGAAUCAUUGGGCGUAAAGCGUACCGAUAGGUGGUUUUGUUAGUCUUGGGUGAAAGCCCGAAGCUUAACUUCGGAGUUCGCUUAAGAUACUGCAAGACUAGAGGGGCAAAGAGGAGACUGGAACGAACGGUGUAGUAGUGAAAUGCGUUGAUAUCGUUCGGAACACCGAAAGCGAAGGCAGGUCUCUGGGUGCCACCUGACACUGCUAGGACGAAAGCGUGGGGAGCGAAUGGG